rnacentral:rRNA from 1 species
AGUCUGAUCCGGUCUGGCGGGAUGCUUUGAUACAGCUGGGUCAGUUCGGCAGCACGGACUUCGGUCUGGUGGCGAGCGGCGAACGGGUGAGUAAUGUAUCGGAACGCAGUCUAGUAGCGGGGGAUAACUACGCGAAAGUGGAGAAGCACACGCAGCACAAGCCCUUCGGGGAAAGCGGGGACCUUCGGGCCUCUGCACUAUUAGAGCGGCCAUAUCGGAUUAGCUAGUUGGUGGGGUAACGGCUCACCAAGGCGACGAUCCGUAGCUGGUUUGAGAGGACGACCAGCCACACUGACUGAGACACGGCCCAGACUCUACGGGAGGCAGCAGUGGGGAAUUUUGGACAAUGGGGAAACCCGGAUCCGCUUCAUCAUCCCGCGUGUGCGAUGAAGGCCUUCGGGUUGUAAAGCACUCCUUGGCAGGAAGCAAACGGCACGGAUAAUACCCAGUAACGACGGUACCUGCAGAAUAAGCACCGGCUAACUACGUGCCAGCAGCCGCAGCACACGUAGGGUGCAAGCGUUAACUGGAAUUACUGGGCGCAGCGUGCGCAGGCGGCCUGGAAAGAAAGAUGUGAAAUCCCAGAGCUUUUAACUUUGAACUGCAUUUUUAACUACCGAGCUAGAGUGGUCAGAGGGGAGGUGGAAUUCCGCGUGUAGCAGUGAAUGCGUAGAUAUGCGGAGAACACCGAUGGCGAAGGCAGCCUCCUGGGGAUAACACUGACGCCUGCGCACGAAAGCGUGGGGAGCAAAACAUUAAGAAGAGAUUAGAUACCCUGGUAGUCCACGCUCCUAAACGAUGUCAACUACGUUGGGGCUCGGGCCUCGGUAGCGCAGCCACCAUGAAGUUGCGACCGCCCGGGGAGUACGGUCGCAAGAUUAAAAACUCAAAGGAAUUGACGGGGACCCACAAGCGGUGGAUGAUGUGGGACAAUUUGAUGCAACGCGAAAACUCAUCACCCUUGACAUGUCUGAAUCCCGAAGAGAUUUGGGAGUGUUUCGCAAGAGAACUGGGAAGACAGGUGUUGCAUGGCUGUCGUCAGCUCGUGUCGUGAGAUGCCGGGUUAAGUCCCGCAACGAGCGCAACUCCUUAAUAUUGCUACGAGGCGGCAUCGACGAGAUCAUAUGGACAAACCGGGAGGAAGGUGGGGAUGACGUCAAGUCCUCAUGGCCCUUAUGGGUAGGGCUUCACACGUCAUACAAUGGUCGGAGCAAUAUUGUAACUGGAAUCAUAUAC